CUGUCCUCACCUCCGCUCCUCCCCUGGACGCUACAGAGGGUCCUUGUGUGUGUGUUCCUUCCUCCCUUCCUUCCCGCUUAGCCGUGUGUGCAAGCAAGGACGCCCGGGACCGAGUGUGUUCGUAUGCACGAUUCCAUGCGUGAGUGUGGCCGCGCUGUUUGUACACAGCAUGUACAGCAUUGGGUUUGCAUGAACUGUGACGGUUUUGAGGUUCUAAAGGCUAUUCAACUCUCACUGACCCUCACGGGCGGGUCAAACACAAGGACUUGUACAAACGGAGACAAAUAACCACUUCAACCAAAAUAUGGUCUUUUACUGAACCCGACCAAGUGGUGUCGCUUGAACCUGCGUUAUUGAGAGUGCAGCACAAUCAAGAGACACACCACUAUAAUAGAAGAGUGUAACAUUCAAGUCCAUGUUUGCAGAAAUAUGGAUAAGAAAAAUAUCAAACUUGAGAAUAAUUGGGUUUAGUGGUCUGAUUGCAUAGAACCGACGUAGAUUGUGGCACAAGUCAAUGUGGAAAAAGCACCAAUAACACAGAAGUCUGGAUAAAAGUCAGAGGAGCUCUAGUCAAAUAGUUCUUUGUCAAGUUGUGUCUUUUCCUUCUUGUGUCGGAGGAAUAUGAAUCCAGCUGCGUAUUGACCGUGAUCUGCAGACUGUGUCCUCUGGCAGCUGAAGCAAGAACAGCAUAAAACAGUUACAGAAGACCAUCAGCCGCUCGGACAUCUCGACGGAGAAGCGGAGGACGUCGAAGGCCGUGGAGAUGGGAGCCAGGGGGGGGGACAGCGAAGGAGGAACCUCCUCUCCCAUCUGAGGACGGAGAGGUCAGACGCGCUGGUCGCCUCACCUGGAGAAGAGACGCGGUGAGGAGGUCGGACAGCCGGAGGAGGUGCGCUCCGGCGCCCCCUGUGGACCGAGAGGACAAACUGACGUUUUCUUUGGCUGUUUUCAACCAAUCAACGUGCAGCCUGAAGGACCGAGUGUAACGCAACAGCUGGGAGAGUGACUCGUUCACCUGUGGAGACAUUUAAAAUCAACCAUUAAAGAUCCCGCUCAGCACAAGGCGCGUUUCCCGGUUGUAAGAAUCGUUACCUUCAGUGAGCUGAAAUGCGCCGCGGUGUGUUGGAUGUGAGGAAGGUCGUCCAGUCGGUGUUCCACGCCCUCAAAGAUCACGAGUUCAUGGUCCGUCUGGUGGGAACAUAAUGGCGCAGGAAUGUUGCUUAAAAACACAUUACAUUGGAAAACAGAACAGCUGUGAUUUUAAACAGCGGGGGAGAAAAAACAAAAACGCGUCGUCAUAUAGAUGACUGAAAAAACUGCCAUAAGAACAAACAUAUUUUCCUUUUUGUCAGUGUUGUGUGGAUCUGGACUGCAUUGUGUUGGAAUGGAAAAUAUUUAUUUUGUACACUACUACAUCGCACAUCAACUGCUGAAAAGGAUUUUUUUUUAAUGUCAUAGUUAAAGUAAUAAAAUUCUUGUAUAAACACAUACAAAUAUUGAAAUGUCCAUAAUUAUAGCUGGUCUCACCAAGUGGUGGAGUUUUUUGGACAUGUUGUUCAAGCUGUUGAGCUGUAGGACCAUCGGCCUGAACAUCCCACAGAGCGGCGAGCAGUGGGCGGGCCGCGGCGACGAACGGACAAACAGCUCAGCCAAUAGCAGCAGGUGGAGGAGACGAGGGGCGGAGCCAUGCAUUACUGAAAAGACAAGAAGAGAUUUUUUUAAAAGACUGUUGCUGUCACGUUUCUUUGUUUUCUGGUUGUCGUUUUUUUUUCUGCAACGGUUGUGUUUUGUCGUCUCAGCGGAGAAACUUUUUUCUUUCAUUUUUAUGACGAUAAUUUCAGUAUUUGUGGAACAGGACUCUGUUUUCUUAUGUUUCUGUGUCUGAAUAACAGCAACAACCUCUGAAAUGUAAAUGACUGUGCACAAAUAAAUAAACAGGCCUAAUAUCGGACAAAAGAA